UGGGGAAUUUUGCACAAUGGGCGCAAGCCUGAUGCAGCGACGCCGCGUGAGGGAUGAAGGCCUUCGGGUUGUAAACCUUUUUCGCUCAUGGUCAAGCCGCAGCUUUGGGUUGUGGUGAGGGUAGUGGGUAAAGAAGCGCCGGCUACUACGUGCCAGCAGCCGCGGUAAUACGUAGGGCGCGAGCGUUGUCCGGAAUUAUUGUGCGUAAAGGGCUUGUAGGCGGUUGGCCGCGUCUGCCGUGAAAUCCUCUGGCUUAACUGGGGGCGUGCGGUUGGUACGGGUUGACUUGAGUGCGGUAAGGGAGACUGGAAUGCCUGGUGUAGCGGUGGAAUGCGCAGAUAUCAGGAGGAACACCGGUGGCGAAGGCGGGUCUCUGGGCCGUUACUGACGCUGAGGAGCGAAAGCGUGGGGAGCGAACAGG
rnacentral:rRNA from 1 species